UACGUAGGGGGCAAGCGUUGUCCGGAUUUAUUGGGCGUAAAGAGCUCGUAGGCGGCUUGUCGCGUCGGCUGUGAAAACCCGGGGCUCAACCCCGGGCCUGCAGUCGAUACGGGCAGGCUAGAGUCCGGUAGGGGAGAAUGGAAUUCCCGGUGUAGCGGUGAAAUGCGCAGAUAUCAGGAGGAACACCGGUGGCGAAGGCGGGUCUCUGGGCCGAUACUGACGCUGAGGAGCGAAAGCCGUGGGGAGCGAACAGG
rnacentral:rRNA from 1 species